CUACGGGCGGCAGCAGUGGGGAAUAUUGCGCAAUGGGGGAAACCCUGACGCAGCAACGCCGCGUGAGGGAAGAAGGUUUUCGGAUUGUAAACCUCUGUCCUUGGUGACGAAGGAAGUGACGGUAGCCAAGGAGGAAGCCCCGGCUAACUACGUGCCAGCAGCCGCGGUAAUACGUAGGGGGCGAGCGUUGUCCGGAAUGACUGGGCGUAAAGGGCGCGUAGGCGGCCUGAUAAGUCUGGAGUGAAAGUCCUGCUUUUAAGGUGGGAAUUGCUUUGGAGACUGUCGGGCUUGAGUGCGGAAGAGGCAAGUGGAAUUCCCAGUGUAGCGGUGAAAUGCGUAGAGAUUGGGAGGAACACCAGUGGCGAAGGCGACUUGCUGGGCCGUAACUGACGCUGAAGCGCGAAAGCGUGGGGAGCGAACAGGAUUAGAUACCCUUGUAGUC
rnacentral:rRNA from 1 species